rnacentral:rRNA from 1 species
UACGUAGGUGCGAGCGUUGUCCGGAUUUAUGGCGUAAAGGGUGCGUAGGCGGCCCUGUAAGUAUGGUGUGAAAUCUCCCGGCUUAACUGGGAGGGUGCGCUAUAGACUGCGGGGCUCGAGUGUGGGAGAGGAAAGUGGAAUUCCUGGUGUAGCGGUGAAAUGCGUAGAUAUCAGGAGGAACACCGGUGGUGUAAACGGCUUUCUGGACCAUAACUGACGCUGAGGCACGAAAGCGUGGGUAGCAAACAGG